GAUGAAGAACGUAGCGAAAUGCGAUAAGUAAUGUGAAUUGCAGAAUUCAGUGAAUCAUCGAAUCUUUGAACGCACCUUGCACCCAUUGGUAUUCCAAAGGGUAUGCUCGUUUGAGUGUCAUUGUACUCUCACACUCUACUAUUAGAGAAGUGGACUUGGGUGUUGCUGCUUUGCGGGUGGCUCAUCUUAAAUAUGCUAGUGCAACUCAUGGUUGGAUAUAGUACAGCGUGAUAAAUAUCUUCGCUGGCGCCUCAUGAAGAGGGUAUCUGAUUGGGAGCUCUGUGCUUCUAACAGUCCUGUCUAGGACAAUGUCUGACAACUUGACCUCAAAUCGAGUAGGACUACCCGCUGAACUUAAGCAUAUCAAUAAGCGGAGGA
rnacentral:misc_RNA from 1 species